GAAUCAAAUCCCAUGACUGUCUCUGAUAUCUUCUCAGAUAUGGUGGAAGUUAAACUUGACAUAUCUGUCUCAGCCCCGUCUAGGAAUUUUUGCGUGGUUGUGCUGGCUAGUGUUGGAUCAGUUUUUGAUAAAAGAGAAAUGCUGGUGGGUGUGUUGUGACUUGUGACAUCAGAGACCUCAUUUGUAGCCUGCAUAGAAGUACCAAAGAUGCGGUCAAAGGCUGUUAAUCCAGAAGUGUCAGCUGAGGUUUUUUUCCCCUCUGAUGAUGUAGGAGCGUGCUGGCUUGUGGUCAAACUAGGUGAUUGGGUGGUAGUAGUCACAGGUGUAGCAGCAGAUCCAGUACUUCUUUCAUCUGUAGUGGCUUUAGUUGGACAUUCCUCCUUUGAUGUUAUUGGCAUUUCUUCUUUUGCUUCUGAAGGUAUGGCAGGUGGCUGCCCAUUUUGCCCUUUUUUAAUUAUCACAUUGUUGAGGUUGCAAUUGCUGAUCCCAGCUGAGGCUCUUAAUGUGCUAAGAGCUAUGUGAUAAGGGAAAAACACAGGAGCUUUAAAUUUUCCACAACACCCUUUAAUAGUAAGAGAAGCACUCAAUGAAAAAGAAAACUAGUUAGAAACAAAUGAAUAUUUAAUGAAAUAUUUUAUUUCCUUUUGACGCAUGUUUAUAAUGAUAAAACUUGUCAAUAACAAAAAUAUAUUUAGAUUUUGAUUAAUUUUGUGGUGCAUGUAUGAUUGUUUGGAUGAAGAUCUGAGUUUUAUGACUGACGGGCUAAAUCAGCUGGCUUCUAAUAUUUUCUACCUACAGUCUUGUAAUCCAGAAAGGCUGAUUUUUUUCCUUUUUGUGUGAGUAUUUUUUUCAGUAAAAGACCGUCAAACUUUUUAUCCUCUGUAACUGUGCCGACAGAGAAGGACUUCACAAGGAAAACGGUUUUAAUGGGAAACUACACCUCAGAAGGAUUUUUGUUCAACUGGGACGAGACCUUGGGGCAGUCCAACAACACCCUCAUGGCAUCAGGCCUGCUGACCUGGGAAUGCCUCGGGAUCCUCCAGAGUAGCUAGCCAGUGUAACUGGAGAAGCUGGAACGUCACCUCUCUGGUGGGGAAGGAAGCUGUUGGGCAAGGUUGACCGGUUCCGGCUAGAUAUAAUUGGACUCAUCUCGAUGCAUGGCUUGGGCUCUGGAACCACUGUCCUUGAGAGGGGCUGGACCCUCUUCCAUUCUGGAGUUGCUCCCGGUGAGACCCACUGA